rnacentral:rRNA from 1 species
CAAUAGCGUAUAUUAAAGUUGUUGCGGUUAAAAAGCUCGUAGUUGGAGUUCUGCCAGGUGACGCUCGUCCGCCCAAGUGGUGUGUACAGGGCGUGCAUCUGGCCCUUUCAAGGGGAACGUGUCUGCACUUUACUGUGUGGUGCGAGAUCCUUGACUUUUACUUUGAGGAAAUCAGAGUGUUCCAAGCAGGCUCUCGUCGUGUAUAGCUCAGCAUGGAAUAAUAGCAUUGGACUUCGUUUCUAAGCUGUUGGUUGCAAGAAGCGAGGUAAUGAUGAAGAGGGAUAGUUGGGGGCAUUCGUAUUUAACUGUCAGAGGUGAAAUUCUUGGAUUUGUUGAAGACGGACUACUGCGAAAGCAUCUGCCAUGGAUGUUCUCAUUGA